ensembl:lncRNA
GUAACAAUGUACCUACCCAAGAGUUACUGUGAGGAUUAAAUGGAGGCGCUGUGAACAAUGCUGGCACACAGUCAGGCCUCAAUAAGUUUUAGUAAUUGUUAUUCUCUCCACUCUCUUUUUUCUGUCAUGAGAAUUCUGGGACAAAGGAACACUUAGAGGGUUCUGGGGUUCCUUCUGUGCUGUCACCUGAACUGUCACUUUACUUUCUAGCACAGCUUCUGUUCUUUCAGUCAAUGUUGUAGACCAAAGAGAAGGAAGAAUGUCUCCCAUUUAGGAUUUCUUGACCUCUGAAAAAUGAGAGAUGAUCUUAAGUCAUCAAAAAAAGUCACCUCUAAAACCUCUAAAAUAGUGUGAUACCGGGAUUUGCUUCACAACAAUCUGGGAGGGGCAGACAGCGGGAAGGGUGGAGACGAGUUGUUUCCGUGGAAGUUGACUUGAGUGCGUGAACUUUGAGAACUGGGUCAUCUGUUCCUCUUAUUGCUGAUUGAACUGAGUAAUUUCACCAUGUAGAAGCCUCAUUAUCUGUCAAAGGGAUCUUCUGAGAAAACUGGACAGUUAGCGGACCUUUUAAGCAAACGACAUCCUGUGGACAUUAUUUUAAGCGCCCUGGAGCAUCCUGGAAACCACUGGUUUUCAAAACUUUUCUUGCACACGAUCCACUGUAGAAAGACGUUUUACAUCACAACACGCAUAAAUCUAUGUUACUGAAAUGAAAGUUUUGUGAGAAAAUACUUUUCCUUACUAGACAUGAUGCAUUCUGAUAUUUUCCAUUUCAUUGUAAUCAUUUUUUUAAAAAAUUCUGGUUUGUAACCCAUUAAAUUGAUUUUACCACCAACAAUUGAGACUCAAGAGUAUGAAACAGAGACGUGAACAAAUCAGGGUGCCGGUUGGACUCGAGAAUAAUAUGAGAUUCAAGUGAAUUUCAUUUGAGGGAAAAAAGUUUGGUAGAAUUUAGAAGUCAACAAAUUUGUGGGUUAUUUUCCAUAACGUAAAACUUCAAAUUUUUUGGAAUUAAGCAUUUUUUGCAAUCAGUAUGUGGCUAAUAUCGGUAAAAGACAAUUUAGCAGUAUAGCUCUUUUAAAUAUUAUACAUUUGCAAUGAAAAGAAUGAUUCCUUAGUUCCAGAAGGUCCAAAUAUGAAGUCGCGGCCCAAAAUAAGAAAGAAGAUAGUCUAAGUGGACAAUUGCAAGAGGGAAUUGACAACAGUCUGGAGGCCUGGUAAAGGAUCUACAACACUGUGUUGAGAGAAGGCUGUGUUCUUACAGAGAACAGAAGAGAUAGCGUCUGAUAAAAUGGGCCUGUGCCUCCGAGUCUGAUAGCGGUGCCUUCUGAUUUUGCCGUAUCUCUAGUCAAUGAAGCCACAAGAGUCACAGCUUGGACAAGGCCACAAGGACCUAAGGGUGCUCUAUGACCCACAGCAUCCAGCCUGUCCUCAGACUCUUCCUGCGAUGGGGGAUGGCUCGUGAUAACUCUUCCAGCUUCCAGAGGAAGCGUGGCUGGUUGACCUUGCUCAACAGUCUUAACCUUUCUGCAUCUCAGUUUUUUAACUUGUAAAUGUGUUCAAGACGUAUUCUUUGCCUUCCUACUAUGGGUCAGACAAUCUCAAGUAUUUUUUUAGGGGGAGGAAGGGGAACCAAGGCAGGGUAUAAAUAAACAGAUAGAUGAAAUGGAAAACUGAGAUGCACAGAAAUUUUAGGCAUUGGGGCUACAGAGUUGAACAAGACAAUAGUCUAAAGGGAGAGACUGGGACAUAAAUAGUUAUGAAGACAGUAGAGUGAGCAAUUUAGUGAGGCACAAGGCAUUCUGGGCACACUGGGAGCACUGCUGUUUGCUCUUUUAGCAGUUCCUUCCCACCCAACCUCGAGGUACUGAUUUCCCAUAAAAACUGGCCGAUGGCUAUGCUCUCUGGAUCAGGACUUCCCUCCAGGUGCCCCCUCACCACUUCCUCCAGAGCCCCCUAGGCUGUAAACUCCCAUGAAAGCAGCGAUCCCAUCUGUUUUAUUCAUCCUUUUAUCCAUGUAAACUUGCAUAUGGAACCCCCCAAUAAAUAUUUGCCAAAUAAAUAAACAAAUGGGCCGUAUUCAGAAGCUAGGGGAGCUCCUAAAUGAAGUUAUGUCAAGUGUGACAUGAUCUUCUCUUUCUUUAGUACUCCAUCUGGAAACAUAAUUCUGGUGUCAGUGGUCUAGGACACGGAUCAAAGGAGGCUGAGCUAGGGUGGCCGUGUAGGAGGGUGUUGCAAUAAUUAAGUAAGGAGGGGUAAGGGGUGAAGUAGGGUGAUGCUGAGGACACUGCAGGGUAGCCUUGACGGCUGGCUGGGUAUGGGGGGUUAGGGAGCGAGAGAAGUUGAGGAUUUCUUUCUGAGUUCUGCUUUUGUAUUUUUUUUUUUUUUUUGAGGAAGAUUAGCCCUGAGUUAACAUCUGCUGCCAAUCUUCCUCUUUUUGCUGAGGAAGACUGGCCCUGAGCUAAUAUCCAUGCCCAUCUUCCUCUAUUUUAUGUAGGACCCCUGCCACAGCAUGGCGUGCCAAGCAGUGUGCCAUGUCCGCACCUGGGAUCCGAGCCAGCGAACCCCUGGCUGCCAGAGCAGAACGUGAGACUUAACUGCUGCAUCACCGGGCCAGCCCCUACUUUUGUAUUUUUGAUCAAAAUAAGGCACUGAGUUUCUAGAGGAAGACUAUGAGUUCAGCUUUGGACAUGUUGCUCUGAAUUUGGCUGUGGAUGGUAAGAUGGGGUCACACCCACUGGGCACGAGAUCUGGAGCUGACGUUUACACAUUGUUGACUCCCCAACACCGAUUCCACUCCUCUCUCAAUGUGAUCUGGGAAAUUGCCCUCAUCUCAAAGGUGGGCCUGAUUGAUCUAAAAGUACUGAUCUGAAAGUCACCCUACUUGCCAGGAAUUGGUUCAGGGAUAGACAUGUGAUAUAGUUCUCAUCAAUGAGAGGCAAUGAGAUGUUUGCAGGAGGCUUCUGGGAAAGGCCGUCUCUCCCUGUGGAUCUGGAUGGGGAAGCCUCCAGCCCUGGCGCUCCUGACAGCUUUCCUACAGCCACAAAGAUCCAGCCACAGGAUGAGGCCAAGUCUGUGGACCACAGCGCCGAGAGAGAGCCUGCUUCCUUGACGACAUUGUUGAACCUGCUCAUCAGUUAUCUUGGAAGCUUGUACUGGCUGUGGACUGCCUCUUACUUGAACUCAGUCUCCCUGGGUCUGCCCUUCAACAAGUAGCCCUGUGACCCUGAACAUUCUGCAGUCACUUCGCCUUUCUGGGUUUCAGUGAGCUCAACUGUGAACCGGGGUAUGUAUUCAGUCUGUCUACCCACAUGGGCAGAUUCAGGUUUUAUAGAGUUUGAAGCAUAUGCAAUCUUGAGAGGUCUUCUUAAAAACUGGGAACAAGGGCUGGCCCGAUGGCGUAGUGGUUAAGUUCGUGCACUCCGCUUCAGUGGCCUAGGGUUCGCAGGUUCUGAUCCUGGGCGCAGACCUAGCACCGCUCAUCCAGCCAUGCUGUGGUGGCAUCCCACACAAAAUAGAGGAAGACUGGCACAGAUGUUAGCUCAGGGCCAACCUUCCAUACAGAAAAAAAACGCAAAACCAAAAAACUUGCAACAGAGCCUUGGAAGAAAUCAGUGCAAGUGAAGGGCCCUCAAGCUUCAAGGUACAUCUUCCUCUGCUUCACUUCAGGGUUAUAGUGUAGAAUGAGUGAGAGAAAGCGUGCAGCGUGCGCACCACGUGGUGACUAUCCCAUGAAGGUCAGCUGCUAUGAUUGGGAAUAAUUUAAUACAUAAAAUAUAUAAUUUAGAUCCAGAUUGUGGACAUACACAACUGCAUGUGCUUCUCGAAUUUCCGUGUUGCUGGUUUUAACUCCGCCCCUCCCUCGCUGUGUCUGUAGGGCCGACUUAUCCACUAGGCCCAUGGGGAACAGGGCCUUGGGCUCACAGUACUUUUAGGAGCACACAAAAAUGUUUUUGUGUAUUUCUUUUCAAGUCAGAAGAAAAAGAUGAACUUUCCAGUUGAAGAAAAUAUUUUAAUACAUAAAGUAAGUCCAUUCAUCUUUAUUCCAAUGCAACGGUAAAGUCUAAUUUUUAAUAUUUUCUUACGGAGGAAGAGACCCACACAGGUCAGGAUGCUGCCCUGCUCUCUGCCGCUCCUCCUGUGCUACUCUUUUCUCUUCCCGUGAUUUUUCCCGCCUUCAUCUCUUCCUUCCUGUCCCCACUCUUUACCAUUUUAUUUCCUAUUAUUCUCCUACCUCUAGCGUUUUCUGGCCUAUAUCCAUAUGACUCUCGUGCAAAAUGAAAACAUAAGAAAUCAAAACAAGCAUUGUCCUUGUGUUAGUUUUUCUUUCCUGUCUCAGCUGUUUAAUUCCUCACGUUGCCAGCUCUCGGAGGAAGGCACGUACCGCCUCUCAGAAUGGAAGACUCGGUGGGGCGGGUUGGAGACUCACCUUCUGCAGCUGCAGCCUCUGAGAGCCUGGCUCCCAGCGAGGUGUCGCAGCUCCGGGUUUCCCACACUGGAACGUGGUGAAGACGAAGAACAUUAAUUCGGAUUAUGGAACGUGGAAGCUCCCUGCGCUGUGACAGCUCAUGAGAAAGAGAACACCGCUUCCUUUUUUGGAAGGAAUUGGGAGUGUCACGAGCCACUCAUCAUGACAGAGAUCUCUGGCUUGCUUGAACCCACUCCUGGUUUUAACCAGAGAAGAGAAGGUUGUGAUAAGAGAGACAAUGGGUUGAUCACCUCAGAUCUAUCAUUUGGGAUUAAAUUGCCACAGAAUUUGCAUGACAGAAUAGAAAAUGGGUAAAGUAAAUCAUUGAGUCUGUAUUCACGGACGCAAAAAGGAACAGGAAAAUAUUACAAUGGGCAGUAAAAUUAAAUCUUCAGGGAGAAUCAAAGUGUUAUGGAAGCACAGGAUAUGAGCAUUGUCUUUUUAUGUGUUGGGAAUUGAAAUUGUAAGUUUGAGAAAAUCUGUGCCAUGUGUCAACUGGAACGUGACAGUAUAACGUACAAUAGCAAGCAAAGAGAUAGAUGUCACGCGGUGAAAAAAGGAACAGAAGUUAGAUACCCAAGAAAAUAGUUCAAAGAUACACAUCUUGUAGAAAUCAUUUAAAUACAUUAGAAGGAAGGAAAUGGUAAAAUAAUCAAAUACUGAGUGACAAAGCAGAAGAGAAACACCGUGAGCGACAGAGGCGGAGGCAGAAUAAUUUGAUGAGAGAGAGAGGAAGAAGCAGGAAAAGGAGCCAGCACGAGGCAGUGGUCCUCUAAUGGCCGUUUCUCCUGAGAAAAGCCUUCUCCUGGAAGGGCACGGUUCCCUCGCCACUCACUGCUUUGAUUGGUGUGUCUGCAAUGCCUCAAGCCCACUGGGUGCAGCCAACAGAUUCAGACCCUCCAGAAGGAUCACCCAGGAUGCCAUGCCAGACACCAAGUUAGUGCAGUGUGAAUAACUAAAUAUCAAUGCAAGUGGACUAACACUUAGUGAGUGUGUGCUCCCCGAAGGAGGCAGGCGUUGGCGUUUCAACAGGAGUGUAGGGUCUCGACAGAAGAGCAAAGACUCUGAUGAACAUGUGGUGACUUGGGGGAGGGGACACGAAAAGGCGACAGUAACUGAGCCCAGAGUUCUUAACUGCUUCUGGAAUAAUUGACUUUGCAUAUUUGAUGAAAGCCUCAGGCUGUACCCAGGAAAAUACACAUCUGUGUGUACAGACAAAAUCCUGCUUACAGAGCUCCGGAGUCUAAUGUGUCCCCUGGUCUGAGAUCUCAGAGUUCUGAAUGUAAUGGAGAUCCCAUUUUGAAUAGAACACUAUUUAAACUGCUUACUGAUUCACUUCCGUUGCAACCUUACCCAGCGAGACUGAGAGUGAGGCACUGAUGUUGUCCCUCUGCAAAAUCUUUAUUGAAACAACUGCUUCCUCAAUCUUCCAGCAGAGCUUGAAUUUUUGGUUUGUUUAUGUAUUAUUUAUACCUUGCUGUGUUCUAGAAAAAUUUUGACUUACAAAAUCUGCAUAAUACACAUUAACAAAGUAAGUACUUGGAGGAAUCAGGGUGAAAGGAAAAGGUGGGCAAAAAAUCAAAGUCCAGAGACAAAAAUUAACAGAGCCUGUAGCCUCAUGGUAGACAUAAGUUACAAUUUUGUAACUUCCUGGUGGCCAAAGCUAAGACAAACCCAGGCUUAAAAAUAAGUUUUCUAACAAUCCAUAAGAUAAAAACUAAUCAGGUUAUUGGGUUAUUGGUUAGGGUAUAUAUUAGGCUGCAAGUAACAGAAAACCCAACUAAUAAGGGUUUACGUAAAUUGGUGGUUAUUUUUCUUUCUUAACAAGAAGUCCAUAGAUGGGCAGUUGUUCAGCCAUCUAGGUUAGGUUAUCAAAAACUCAGACUUUUUGAAUCUGUCUUCUCUACUAGUGUUGAUUUUCAUCACUCUUGUAGCCUCAUUGCCUCAAGUAAGCUGCCACAACUCCAG